rnacentral:lncRNA from 1 species
UUUGCAGCAAUCAAAGCACUGCUGAAGCAACCAACAAACACCCAGCAUGCAGCUGCAGCUGUAAGUGCAAAGUACACCCAAAAGCAGUGAAGGAUACUCUGCAUCUACUCAGCAAAGAGCCAAAGACUCCUGACCAUCAUAUGAAGUGUCCCCUGUGACACUGGCUCUUCACCUCACCUGAUUGCAAUCACCGGGUUGCUGCAAACGUACAAAGACAGGGUCAUCAAGCCAUUCAGAAAUGAUUUCUUUUGAAUGAGACUAACUAGCUUACCUCCCAAUCUCGUGAUGCAGGACACCGUACCGAAGGGAACACAUCCAUAAAAGCUGGACCCCAGAUGGUUGCAUAUAAUGCCCCUACCCAAUUUAGCAUCAGACUGUAGCAUGCACUGAUUGCCUAGCCAUAGCCCACUAGUCCAUGGCCCAGCAAAAUCUGAUCUGAAUCUGGCUACCUCCCUUUACAGCCACCAGCCCACGCACCUUGUCCCCUCUCACCUGCUAGUAAGUCCCGUAUCUCUGUGCCUAUAUAUUCAGGGGCCAAGACAUCAUCACUUCAUCAACAAACUCACAGACCAAACAUUUCUCAGCCAAAAACCUGAGAACCAAGAACACCCAGCA